UAUGCUUAGCCUUAAACCCAGAUGCAUUUUUACAUUUACAUCCGCCAGGGUACUACAAGCGCAGCUUAAAACCCAAAGGACUUGGCGGUGCCUCAGACCCACCUAGAGGAGCCUGUUCUAGAACCGAUAACCCCCGUUAAACCUCACCACUUCUUGUUUUUCCCGCCUAUAUACCGCCGUCGUCAGCUUACCCUGUGAAGGACUAACAGUAAGCAAAAUGGGUCCACCCAAAAACGUCAGGUCGAGGUGUAGCGCACGAAGUGGGAAGAAAUGGGCUACAUUUUCUAAUAACAGAAUAUCACGGACGGCACCCUGAAAUAGGUGCCCAAAGGUGGAUUUAGUAGUAAAAAAUAAAUAGAGAGUCUUUUUGAAUUAGGCUCUGAGGCGC
rnacentral:rRNA from 1 species